UACGUAGGGCGCAAGCGUUAUCCGGAAUUAUUGGGCGUAAAGAGCUCGUAGGCGGUUUGUCGCGUCUGCCGUGACAGUCCGGGGCUCAACUCCGGAUCUGCGGUGGGUACGGGCAGACUAGAGUGAUGUAGGGGAGACUGGAAUUCCUGGUGUAGCGGUGAAAUGCGUAGAUAUCGAGAGGAACACCUGCGGCGAAGGCGGGUUGCUGGGCUGACACUGACGCUGAUGCGCGAAAGCCAGGGGAGCGAACGGG
rnacentral:rRNA from 1 species